AUGGACAUUUAGGUUGCUUCCAUGUCUUGGCUAUUAUAACUAGUGCUGCUGUGAACAUAGGGAGUGCCUAUCUUUUUGAAUCAUGGUUUUCUCCAGGCGUAUGCCAGAAAGUGGGGUUGCUGUAUCAUCGAGCAACUCCCUUUUUAGUUUUUAAGGAAUCUCUAUACCAUUUUCCAUCCUGGCAGCAUCCGUUUACACUCCCACCACCAAUGUAGGUGGGCUCCAAAGGAAUAAACUCUUGAUACAUACAAAACUGGAAUGACUCUCAAAGGCACUGGGCUGAGUAAAAGCAGCCUGUCCUAAGUGGUCACAGAGAAUCUGAUUUCUCGUACAUAACUUUCUUAAAAUGACAUUGCAANUAGAGACGGAGAACAUUUCUUAAUAGUUUUCAGGAGUUAGGGGUGUGGGAUCUGGUACUAUAGUUUUACAAGAUGUUACCACUGGAGCAAACUAAAGGGUUUAUUGCAUCUCUUAACACUGUAUGUGAAUCCCCAACUACCUAAAAAUAAAAAUAUCAAUGCAAAACGACUGAGCAGAGAAAUCCAUGUUCCUUCCACAAUGGAAGGAGAAACAUUCCACAGAUUAAGUUCAGGCAAGUUACUAAACACAGUAUCAACUCUUGGGGGGGGGGGGAUCAGAACCUACAGUUGCAAUAAUAUAUUAUCUAAAACUGUCCCGUUUUCAACAACAAAAAAGUAUGAGAUGUGUAUACAAACAAGAUAGUAUAAUCCAUCGCCAGGGAAAAAAAGUCAAUAGAAGCUGUCUCUAAGGGGAUCCAGAUGUUGGAUUUAGCAGACAAAGCCUUCAAAGCAGCUAUUAAAAAUAUGCUCAAAGAAUUAAAGGACAUCAGGAUCAAAGAAUUUAAGCAAAAUGUAACCACAACUAAAAAGCAGGGAAGCGCAACAAAAACAAUGAAAGCUAUAACAAAGAAUUAAAUGAAAAUUCUAGCGCUGAAAAGCACAAUAAUUGUAAUUCAAUAUUUACCGGAUGAUCUUAAUAGAUUUGAGGUGGUAGGAGAAAGAAAUCAGUCACCUUGAAUGUCGAUCAUAAAAAUUACCCAAUCCUGAAGAGUAGAGAGAAGAACAACGGAGGAAAAAUGAACAGAGCCUCAGGACCUGUGGGCACCAUCAAGCAUACCAACCCAGGGAAACGGCAGUCACGGAAAAAGAGGAGCUAAACAAAUGGGACAGAAGAAACAUCUGAAGAAAUGAUGGCCCCAAACUUUCAAGUUUGAUAAAGAUCCAAAAAUAGCAAUGAAUCCCAAGUUAAAUAAAUACAAAGAGAUAUUCUACCUAAAUACACCAUAGUCAAACUUGAAAGACAAAAAAAACAAAACAAAACAAAAAAAA
rnacentral:lncRNA from 1 species